AUGCGCCGCAAACACCAUCAGCAACGGCUUCCACGCGCGCCACGCUCCACGCCCACGAACGACUUCUCCAUGCCAUACACACCUGCAACAGAAAAUAACCACAAGUAAUGGACAGCAAAUGACAGCAAAUGACGAUUUUGCAUGUGGUUCUUUUUUGCAUAAGAAAGUAAAGAAGGGAGAGCAUACCUUCAAAGAAGCCAUCGGAAGCCGUAUCUUCUUCUUUGAAAUUGACGCUAAUAGAACGAUUUCAUCGUGAGCUACCAUCAACCGAUUUCAAUGGUGGAUUGGUGGUGAGUGAACGGCAGAUUGAAAAGGGGCAAAUAUCUAGGGUUUUCCCUUCCUUUUCCCUCAUUUGUUU